UACGGGGGGGAGCAAGCGUUGUCCGGAAUCAUUGGGCGUAAAGAGCGUGUAGGCGGCCCGGUAAGUCCGCUGUAAAAGUCAAAGGCUCAACCUUUGAAUGUCAGUGGACACUGCCAGGGCUAGAGUCCGGAAGAGGCGAGUGGAACUCCUGGUGUAGCGGUGGAAUGCGCAGAUAUCAGGAAGAACACCAACGGCGAAGGCAGCUCGCUGGGACGGUACUGACGCUGAGACGCGAAAGCGUGGGGAGCGAACAGGAUUAAGAA
rnacentral:rRNA from 1 species